rnacentral:rRNA from 1 species
UGGCGGACGGGUGAGGAAUACAUCGGAAUCUACUCUGUCGUGGGGGAUAACGUAGGGAAACUUACGCUAAUACCGCAUACGACCUACGGGUGAAAGCAGGGGAUCUUCGGACCUUGCGCGAUUGAAUGAGCCGAUGUCGGAUUAGCUAGUUGGCGGGGUAAAGGCCCACCAAGGCGACGAUCCGUAGCUGGUCUGAGAGGAUGAUCAGCCACACUGGAACUGAGACACGGUCAGACUCCUACGGGAGGCAGCAGCC